rnacentral:lncRNA from 1 species
ACAAACAUAAAAAAAAAAGGUGGACAAGAUGAUAUUUGUAGAGAAAUAGAAUCCAAACCACAGUCACAUGCCUCAACAUUUCAAAGAUGGACAGCAGAGGUUGUCCUCCUCCAACAUUCUCAUGGCAUCCAUUUCACUUUCACCUUCCUUUCAGCUGUCCUCAAGCUACUCCGAACCGACACCAUCCAUUCCCAGUGACCACCACCUUCUCUUCUAGUCCUGCUCUUACCUCUCAUCAUCUUCUAUGUAUCACUACUUACGAGCAAGUAAUAUAUAUGUUGCCCCUACCUUACUCAUGAGGCCAACAAAAGCCAUUCUUUUGGUCAUCCC